AUUGUCAGAGAAGCUCGGAUAUUGACGAAGUCUGGAAGAAGUUCGGAGUAGGGUCAUCCGUGGUCGAAAGAAGUCUGGAAGGGAUUCGAAGAAUAGUUGAUCACUGUAGAAGAUCGACUGAUAGUGAAGCCCAGAGAGCAUUUGGAGUGGCCCGAUAGGUGAAUGAAGAAGCUCAUUGUCGGAGAAGUCUAGAUGGUCGAGGGAGUUCAGAA
rnacentral:lncRNA from 1 species